rnacentral:rRNA from 1 species
UACGUAGGGUCCAAGCGUUAUCCGGAAUCACUGGGCGUAAAGCGUUUGUAGGCGGUUUGUUAAGUGAGGUGUUAAAUCGUGUGGCUCAACCAUAUCGAUGCAUCUCAUACUGGCAGACUAGAGGAAGGCAGAGGCAAGUGGAAUUACGAGUGUAGCAGUAAAAUGCGUAGAGAUUCGUAGGAACACCAAUGGCGAAGGCAGCUUGCUGGGCCUUUUACUGACGCUGAG